UACGGAGGGUGCAAGCGUUAAUCGGAAUUACUGGGCGUAAAGCGUGCGCAGGCGGUUUGUUAAGUCUGUUGUGAAAUCCCCGAGCUCAACUUGGGAAUUGCAAUGGAUACUGGCAGGCUGGAGUAUGGUAGAGGAAGGUGGAAUUCCCGGUGUAGCAGUGAAAUGCGUAGAGAUCGGGGGGAACACCAGUGGCGAAGGCGGCCUUCUGGACCAAUACUGACGCUCAUGCACGAAAGCGUGGGGAGCAAACAGG
rnacentral:rRNA from 1 species